rfam:Gossypium raimondii Chr11_contig_1093, whole genome shotgun sequence.
CACGUCAGCGCGACCUGCUGACGCGGAAGGAAAUCGCUUCUUCAAGGACGCGAUUUCCUUCAACAUCAGCAGGUCGCGCUGACGUGG